UCACAUUUGGCUAUAAAAGUGGUCAAUGUCCUGACUAUGUGAGGCUCUAGGACACACCAGAUGUUCAGCUGUUACACGGAAUUGUUCAUUUUUAAAUGCUGCAGAUGUUUUUAUGACCAUAGUUUUGUCCAAAUAUAGUUUAUACUGAAUUUAAUGUUAUUUUUCAUCUCUAAAAAUGAAAAAUAAUCAGUAGUAUAAAGCCCCCAAUUAAUAAGUUAGACAAUCCUGCAGAAUAGACCACAGAAUAGGAACUCAAUCUGGAGUACAAGAAAUUGAUGACCCUGUUACGCCUGUUAUUGGAACAGUUUUAAGAUGCCUUUUUAUCAUAUUAGGGAAAAAAUGAUCGGAUAUAGGCAGGUUUACGGAAUAGCAUGUCUCCCACAAUCAAAAUUAUUGCUACACAUGCAUAAUUUCUAACAUGAUCCUGACUGACUUAUUUCCAUUAUGGGUCCAUUACAAUAUCUGGUGUAUUGAUUUGUUGGCACAAAUGUAGCAAUUUAAAAUUAAUUAUUUCUUGUAUGUAGCCCAAGCUUUGGCCUAAGGGUUUAUGGCUCUUGCAGUGUAGUCUUAGGAAAACAAACCUAAGAGGUGUUGGUGAGGUAUGCUGAGGAUGUCCCAACAUUGUAAAUUCAGCAUUUGUGUUUUUGUUUCACCAUCAUCUCUGCUAAUAGAACAUAUCACACCACAGUCACAAACAUGUCCUGUUGUCCAUACAGGUACAACUCGUGUACAGAGCUUCUUCAUCAGAU